rnacentral:miRNA from 1 species
CGUACCGUGAGUAAUAAUGCACA